UGGGGAAUAUUGCACAAUGGGCGCAAGCCUGAUGCAGCCAUGCCGCGUGUAUGAAGAAGGCCUUCGGGUUGUAAAGUACUUUCAGUCGGGAGGAAGGUGGUAAGGUUAAUAACCUUGGCAAUUGACGUUACCGACAGAAGAAGCACCGGCUAACUCCGUGCCAGCAGCCGCGGUAAUACGGAGGGUGCAAGCGUUAAUCGGAAUUACUGGGCGUAAAGCGCACGCAGGCGGUUGAUUGAGUCAGAUGUGAAAUCCCCGGGCUUAACCCGGGAAUCGCAUCUGAUACUGGUCAGCUAGAGUCUUGUAGAGGGGGGUAGAAUUCCAUGUGUAGCGGUGAAAUGCGUAGAGAUGUGGAGGAAUACCGGUGGCGAAGGCGGCCCCCUGGACAAAGACUGACGCUCAGGUGCGAAAGCGUGGGGAGCAAACAGG
rnacentral:rRNA from 1 species